rnacentral:rRNA from 1 species
UUGGAGGGCAAGUCUGGUGCCAGCAGCCGCGGUAAUUCCAGCUCCAAUAGCGUAUAUUAAAGUUGUUGCAGUUAAAAAGCUCGUAGUUGAAUUUCGGGAUCAGAGUGUCGGUCGUGCCUCGGUACGCACUGGUAUUAUUGGUUCCUACCUUCUGAAGAACUGCGAUGUCAUUAAUUUGGUGUCGUGGGGAAUCAGGACUGUUACUUUGAAAAAAUUUGAGUGUUUAAAGCAGGCUUACGCUUGAAUACAUUAGCAUGGAAUAAUGAAAUAGGACGUUUGAUUCUAUUUUGUUGGUUUCUAGGAUUGACGUAAUGAUUAAUAGGGAUAGUUGGGGGCAUUAGUAUUCAAUUGUCAGAGGUGAAAUUCUUGGAUUUAUUGAAGACUAACUACUGCGAAAGCAUUUGCCAAGGAUGUUUUCAUUAAUCAAGAACGAAAGUUAGGGGAUCGAAGACGAUCAGAUACCGUCGUAGUCUUAACCAUAAACUAUGCCGACUAGGGAUCGGAUGAUGUUAAUUUUUUAAUGACUCAUUCGGCGCCUUACGGGAAACCAAAGUGUUUGGGUUC